GACCCCAUGGCCCAAUGGAUAAGGUGCUGGUCUAUGAAAUCAGAGAUUCUGGGUUCGAUUCCCAUAGAGUCA
rnacentral:tRNA from 1 species